rnacentral:rRNA from 1 species
GAUCCUGGCUCGGGAUGAACGCUAGCGGCAGGCCUAACACAUGCAAGUCGAGGGGCAUCACGAGGUAGCAAUACUUUGGUGGCGACCGGCGCACGGGUGCGUAACGCGUAUGUAACCUACCUAUAACAGGGGCAUAACACUGAGAAAUUGGUACUAAUUCCCCAUAAUAUUCGGAGAGGCAUCUCUCCGGGUUGAAAACUCCGGUGGUUAUAGAUGGACAUGCGUUGUAUUAGCUAGUUGGUGAGGUAACGG